GACGAACCACACGAACGUUAUUCGGAAUUACUGGGCUUAAAGGGUGCGUAGGCUGUGCGGAAAGUUAGGUGUGAAAUCCCCCGGCUCAACCGGGGAAUAGCGCUUAAAACUACCGUGCUGGAGGAAGACAGAGGUGAGCGGAACUUCGGGUGGAGCGGUGAAAUGCGUUGAUAUCCGAAGGAACACCGGUGGCGAAAGCGGCUUACUGGGUCUUUUCUGACGCUGAUGCACGAAAGCUAGGGGAGCAAACGGG
rnacentral:rRNA from 1 species